rnacentral:lncRNA from 1 species
AUUUUCAAUUUUAUGUUUUCAGUAUGAGGACGACUUUAAACCAAGGAGGCUCGGCAACUGGGAAAUACCGAAGCAGCCGUAUGGUGACAGGCCAAAAAUAAAACGAAGGACAACGCGAGUCAUAGCUGAUGAUAAAGGUCAUCUCCUGGCAGGAGUACCGCGACCGAGUGGAAACCCUUUCGAAGGAUUGUACAUAGGAACAUACCAGUUGCCAAAGAAAAUUACGCGCCAAGUCGCGGAGGAACUGUCACGUCCUCGGAAAAGUUAUCUCAUCGAGAAAAGAUCUCGAUAUACAAAGCCCGGAGCUUCCAGAAAAGAAUCGCCAGCAGCCUCUCCGACGCUUGAAACGACAUCGCUGAAACAGUUGGAGGCAAACGAUAAAGAUAAACAAAUACUAUCAAGAAGUCAGGAAGAUAGAGUGGAGGGGUUACAUCAGGGAGAGAGCAAUAACAAACAGCUGAUAAGAUCAAGUGUUUUAGACGAUC